UAUCAGGUCUAGAAAAGUCCAAUAUUUACACACUAUCUAUAAAAACACACACCAUCUAUAAAAUUAUAGAUAGUACCAUCUAUAAAAACACGGAUGUGUUCACACAAAGUCAUGUUUUUCUCGUGCGAAAUACAUGUACCCGGAAUUCGAUCGAAAAAUGUCAUCCGAACAGUCAGCAAAAACACAAUGGGUCCACGAUAAACCUAAACGACUAACAAACCAUAAAAAAGGAGUUGCUCCUACUAUUCCCAGAAGGAGAAGUGGGAAAACUGUCAUGUCUUUCAUAGACGACCCUCUUAAAAGGCGGAAAACUCUAUCUCAGAGAAAAAGUGGUAUUUUUAAAAAGGCUAGAGAAUUACAUAUUAUGACAGGACAGGAUGUGUCGUUGACAUUUGG